GGGCCCAUAGCUCAGCUGGUUAGAGCACCUGACUCAUAAUCAGGGGGUCCAUGGUUCGAGCCCAUGUGGGCCCA
rnacentral:tRNA from 3 species